rnacentral:rRNA from 1 species
GUGGGGAAUAUUGGACAAUGGGCGAAAGCCUGAUCCAGCCAUGCCGCGUGUGUGAAGAAGGUCUUCGGAUUGUAAAGCACUUUAAGUUGGGAGGAAGGGCAGUAAGUUAAUACCUUGCUGUUUUGACGUUACCGACAGAAUAAGCACCGGCUAACUUCGUGCCAGCAGCCGCGGUAAUACGAAGGGUGCAAGCGUUAAUCGGAAUUACUGGGCGUAAAGCGCGCGUAGGUGGUUUUGUAAGUUGGAGGUGAAAUCCCCGGGCUCAAUCUGGGAACUGCCUCCAAAACUGCAUGACUAGAGUACGGUAGAGGGUAGUGGAAUUUCCUGUGUAGCGGUGAAAUGCGUAGAUAUAGGAAGGAACACCAGUGGCGAAGGCGACUACCUGGACUGAUACUGACACUGAGGUGCGAAAGCGUGGGGAGCAAACAGGAUUAGAAACCCCGGUAGUCC